rnacentral:tRNA from 1 species
GGGUAGAUGUCCGAGCGGUUUAAGGAGCACGCCUGGAACGCGUGUGUGGGGCAACUCACCGAGAGUUCAAAUCUCUCUCUGCCCGCCA